rnacentral:rRNA from 1 species
AGUCGAGCGAGAAAGCGGGGGCAACCCUGUGAGUACAGCGGCGCACGGGUGAGUAACACGUGGAUAAUCUACCUGGGAGUGGGGAAUAACUCUGGGAAACCGGAGCUAAGACCGCAUACGCCUGAGAAGGGAAAGGAAGCAAUUCCGCUCGCAGAGGAGUCCGCGGCCGAUUAGCUAGUUGGUGAGGUAACGGCUCACCAAGGCGACGAUCGGUAGCCGGCCUGAGAGGGCACACGGCCACACUGGCACUGAAACACGGGCCAGACUCCUACGGGAGGCAGCAGUGGGGAAUCUUGCACAAUGGAGGAAACUCUGAUGCAGCGACGCCGCGUGAGCGAUGAAGCCCUUCGGGGUGUAAAGCUCUUUCGGCAGGGACGAUAAUGACGGUACCUGCAGAAGAAGCUGCGGCUAACUACGUGCCAGCAGCCGCGGUAAUACGUAGGCAGCAAGCGUUGUUCGGAAUUACUGGGCGUAAAGAGUGUGUAGGCGGCGCUCUAAGUUCGGUGUGAAAUCUCCCGGCUCAACCGGGAGGGUGCGCCGGAAACUGGAGGGCUGGAGCGUGGGAAAGGAAAGCGGAA